GGGAGGCAGCAAGUGGGGAUUUUGGCCAAUGGGGAAAAGCCUGAUCCCAGCAAUUCCGGCGUGUUUAAAGAAGGCCUUCGGGUUUGUAAAGCACUUUUUCCGGAAAAGAAAUUCCCUGGUCCUAAUAUGGCCGGGGGAUGACCGGUUACCGGAAAGAAUAAGCACCGGCUAAACUACGUGCCCAGCAGCCGCGGUAAUACCGUAGGGUGCAAGCGUUAAUUCGGAAUUACUGGGCGUAAAGCGUGCGCAGGCGGUGAUGUAAGACCGAUGUGAAAUCCCCGGGCUCAACCUGGGAACUGCAUUGGUGACUGCAUCGCUUGAGUAUGGCAGAGGGGGGUAGAAUUCCACGUGUAGCAGUGAAAUGCGUAGAGAUGUGGAGGAAUACCGAUGGCGAAGGCAGCCCCCUGGGUCAAUACUGACGCUCAUGCACGAAAGCGUGGGGAGCAAACAGGAUUAGAUACCCUGGUAGUCCACGCCCUAAACGAUGUCAACUGGUUGUCGGGUCUUCAUUGACUUGGUAACGUAGCUAACGCGUGAAGUUGACCGCCUGGGGAGUACGGUCGCAAGAUUAAAACUCAAAGGAAUUGACGGGGACCCGCACAAGCGGUGGAUGAUGUGGAUUAAUUCGAUGCAACGCGAAAAACCUUACCUACCCUUGACAGAGGAAUUCCGCUGAAGCGGAAGAAAAAGGAUCGACACAGGC
rnacentral:rRNA from 1 species